rnacentral:rRNA from 1 species
UGGCGAACGGGUGAGUAAUACAUCGGAACAUGUCCUGUAGUGGGGGAAAGCCCGGCGAAAGCCGAAUUAAUACCGCAUACGAUCUACGGAUGAAAGCGGGGGACCUUCGGGCCUCGCGCUAUAGGGUUGGCCGAUGGCUGAUUAGCUAGUUGGUGGGGUAAAGGCCUACCAAGGCGACGAUCAGUAGCUGGUCUGAGAGGACGACCAGCCACACUGGGACUGAGACACGGCCCAGACUCCUACGGGAGGCAGCAGUGGGGAAUUUUGGACAAUGGGCGAAAGCCUGAUCCAGCAAUGCCGCGUGUGUGAAGAAGGCCUUCGGGUUGUAAAGCACUUUUGUCCGGAAAGAAAUCCUUGGCUCUAAUACAGUCGGGGGAUGACGGUACCGGAAGAAUAAGCACCGGCU